GUAGCCUAGUGGUUAGAGCGUCCGCCUCGGAUGCGUGAGGUCGUGGCUUCGAUUACCGGCCAAGCCA